UCGGAGGUCUGAACAUUGUCGACAUGGGCAAAAGUCUGGUGGCCAUGAUCGGGUUGGAAAGGCUCGGAGGUUGACGAGGGACCAAAAUGCGGGAUUGAAAUACUGGACCGAGCGAGGGACUCUAAAAGCAUAGAGACCUGACCCUUAAGCUUAGCCACCGUCGCUAUCAAAGCAGUCAUCUCGUUUGACUACGACGAUGAACGGGGUCUAGGUUCUCGCCUCAGGGCAUUCCCCAUCCCUCGACAAUAUGUCC
rnacentral:lncRNA from 1 species